UCCCCCAAUAUAUUAUACCCGAUAAUGAUAAUUUUUAUUGCAUCAUCUUAUUUCAACUUUCUUGUAAGGCUUGAUUCAUGCAAAAGUGGAGAGUCAUUCUCGUUCUUAAGCCCAAUUAAAUCACCAUUUCCUGAUUCAUCCUCCUGCUGCCCCAGAUACUUCCAACACAUUUCAGACCUGAAAUUUUCUGAACUGCUUCUUUUCCAAGUCAUUUUAAGAACCUAGCAUUAAAACAUAAUUACAUGACUGAAAAUACUUUUGAAGCCUGCUCAGUGAGACUUGUUUUAAUAGUGAGGUUUCCGAAUUGCAUGCCUCAGAGGACGAUUUCCUGAGCUGUGUAUAACUCGAGAGCAUCUCUCUGAGCCCAUUAGUCACCUUACAAAAUUACAUGAACUCUUUCAGGCCUCCCGGGGUAGCAACGAUUUAGCAAUAAAUGAAUGGAUUAUGCUUCAUACAGUCAUAUUUUAAAACAGCUUUUAUUAACAACCAAGACUGUUAUUUUUUGGCUUACAAGAUUAUAGUCACGGUUUUUACUAUAAAAUACGAGAUUCACUUUUUAUAGAAUCAAAAAAAAAAAAAGUUAAAAGCCAAAUGGAGAAUUGGUCUCUACGUUUUACUUGAGGAAAUCCAGGCCAGAGAUCAAUUCAGACCUUGCUCAAGGUCACAUAGCCCGAUUUCUGUGCAGCAGGAAUUGGAUGCAUGCUUUCCUCCAACUGCCAAUCCUCAUUUCAGCCAAUUCUUAAUUUUCCACUAACCAAAAAGCCAGCCCAUUACCUUCCAGCACACGACUGUCACCUAGUGGUGCUAACGGUCAUUGCUGCUUAUGCUUACUCCAAAACAAGGAAGGAAAUAAGAAUUAUCUUUAAAAUUUGAGAGUCUUCUUCUGUCAGGUGCUUUAUUUAUGUUAUCUUAGUUAAUAGUUUUAAUACUAUGAACUAGACAUUUUUAUCGAUGAAGAAACGAGAUGUGGUUGAGGAAAUAUACGCAAGUUCACAUAGACUUGCUCCCAGUAGCAGCAUCAUGAACACUCUUCUCUGGGGUGAGUCCCUGUCCUGUAACUUUGACCCGCACAAGGCUGGCUUCUCUUGGCUCUCAGCAGUCCUCUCUGACCUGUACGCUUAUUCCCCGGCUGCAAUGAUUGGCUCAGGGAGGCCAGUGAGACCCACUGACCUUUUCCUGGAGCAGAGGUAAAAUACCAGACUUAACAUCAAAUGCUUAGAAGAGAAUGAUGUUACGUGGACAUGGAGAGUCUGAAGUCACCACAAACUUACUUAGCUUUGCAGAAAAUCAACCAUGAUAAAUCUCCUUCAGGUAUGAUUACUAUAUCCCCUCUUAUUUAAGUAAGAGAUAAUUGGGAUUAUUACCUGCAUUUAGACAAAUUGGUACAAGGAAAAGUCAACGUAUCUAGUCUGGAGGGGAAAGAAUUUAGCAAAUGCUAACAUGGAACCUAAUCCCUCAGGAGCUAGGCUGUGAGAACUUAACCCUUCCAUUCUCUUUCACCUGUCAGGCUUCCACAUAUCCCUGAAGACCCCACUUAACAAUAACUUUCUUUAUCAAAUCUCUCACAGAUUUCCCAAAGUUAGUCAAGCCAUCUGUAAUCUUACAGCCGUUUCUCACAUCUCUAAUUAAACUCUUACCACUGACACACUGGAAUUAUUUACUUACCACUUCCUCACCAACUAGAUUAGGAACUUAUCCAGGAGAGCAGUUUUGUUUCAAACACUUAGCACAAGUUGGGAAGCACGGUAGUAAGUUCUCAACAUACUUUUAUUGAAUACAAUUAAACCUAAACCUAAAACUUUGAAUAAUUAACAACUUACAACAUUUAAGGCCUAUAUCUUAAUUUAAACUCAUAAAAAUAAAAAAUGCAUUCUUGGUCUACA
rnacentral:lncRNA from 12 species